UGAGGAAUAUUGCGCAAUGAGCGAAAGCUAGACGCAGCAACGCCGCGUGGACGAUGAAGGCCUUCGGGUCGUAAAGUCCUUUUCAGGGGGACGAGAGAGGACGGUACCCCUGGAAUAAGUCACGGCUAACUACGUGCCAGCAGCCGCGGUAAAACGUAGGUGGCGAGCGUUAUCCGGAUUCACUGGGCGUAAAGCGCCUGCAGGCGGUCCUGUAAGUGGGACGUGAAAUCUCUUGGCUCAACUGAGAGAGGUCGUUCCAUACUGCGGGACUGGAGGGCAGAAGAGGGAAGCGGAAUUCCCGGUGUAGUGGUGAAAUGCGUAGAUAUCGGGAGGAACACCAGUGGCGAAGGCGGCUUCCUGGCCUGCUCCUGACGCUAAGAGGCGAAAGCUAGGGGAGCGAACGGG
rnacentral:rRNA from 1 species